rnacentral:rRNA from 1 species
CUCAGGAUGAACGCUAGCGGGAGGCCUAACACAUGCAAGUCGAACGGGAUCCCCGAGCAAUCGGGGUGAUAGUGGCGCACGGCUGAGUAACGCGUAUGCAACCUACCUUUAACUGAGGGAUAGCCCAUAGAAAUGUGGAUUAAUACCUCAUAGUUCUUUUGGUCCGCAUGGAUUGAAAGAUAAAGCUCCGGCGGUUAAUGAUGGGCAUGCGUGACAUUAGCUAGUUGGUAAGGUAACGGCUUACCAAGGCUACGAUGUCUAGGGGUUCUGAGAGGAUGAUCCCCCACACUGGUACUGAGACACGGACCAGAUUCCUACGGGAGGCAGCAGUGAGGAAUAUUGGUCAAUGGGCGCAAGCCUGAACCAGCCAUCCCGCGUGCAGGAUGACGGCCCUAUGGGUUGUAAACUGCUUUUAUACACCAAGAAAAACACCUACGUGUAGGUGCCCGACGGUAGUGUAUGAAUAAGCAUCGGCUAACUCCGUGCCAGCAGCCGCGGUAAUACGGAGGAUGCAAGCGUUAUCCGGAUUCAUUGGGUUUAAAGGGUGCGUAGGCGGUCUUUUAAGUCAGUGGUGAAAUCUUGCCGCUUAACGGUAAAAUUGCCAUUGAUACUGAAAGACUUGAGUACAGUUGAGGUAAGCGGAAUGUGUAGUGUAGCGGUGAAAUGCUUAGAUAUUACACAGAACACCAAUUGCGAAGGCAGCUUACUAAACUGUUACUGACGCUGAUGCACGAAAGCGUGGGGAGCGAACAGGAUUAGAUACCCUGGUAGUCCACGCCGUAAACGAUGCUCACUCGCUGUUUGCGAUACACAGCAAGCGGCCAAGCGAAAGCAUUAAGUGAGCCACCUGGGGAG